rnacentral:snoRNA from 1 species
UGGCAAUAUAGGGUGAAAUCAACACGGAUGUAAAACGAGUUUCAGACUCGUGUGUCCGAGAGCGCAUUCAAACUAUGUGGAUCUCUCCGUUGCCUUCCUUCUGACUUUCU